GAGCCCCCCGGCCGGACGCGGAGGCCCCGCGCUGGGACUCCGCUGCCGCCCGACGUGGAGCGAGGCCGGGAGCCCCCGCGGCCGAGGGCCCUCGCGGAGCGUCCGAGCGGGCUGCAGCGGGCUUGCCGGGACCUGUGCGUCUCAGCGCGCCCACCGCGAAGAAAAUUGGAUUUAUUGGGUAACCUCACUGCCAUGCUUUGCAGUCUGUAAUGAGAGUUAGGUAUAACCAAAAGAUUUAUCUGGAGAACCAAAUGCAGUUUCUUAUGUAUAUUUAGAAGUUGUAUCCGGACGCCUGGGGGGCUCAGCGGUUGAGCAUCUACUCAGGUCGUGACCCCAGGGUCCCGGGAUCGAGUCCCGCGUCGUGCUCCCGGCAUGGAGCCUGCUUCUCCCUCUGCCUUUGUCUCUGCCUCUCUCUCUGUAUCUCUCAUGAAUAAAUAAAUAAAAUCUUAAAAAAAAGAAGUUGUA
rnacentral:lncRNA from 1 species